UGGUUUGUUUUCAUGAUAUUUACUGGUUUGG
rnacentral:piRNA from 1 species